UGGGAUGCUUCAUUCAAAUUUCUGGCCUAUCAACUUUCGAUGGUAGGAUAGAGGCCUACCAUGGUUUUAACGGGUAACGGGGAAUUAGGGUUCGAUUCCGGAGAGGGAGCCUGAGAAACCGGUACACAUCCAAGGAAGGCAGCAGGCGCGCAAUUACCCAAUCCCGACAAGGGGAGGUAGUGACAAUAAAUAACAAUACAGGGCUUUCUAGUCUUGUAAUUGGAAUGAGUACAAUUUUAAAAUCCCUUAACGAGGAACAAUUGGAGGGCAAAGUCUGGGUGCCAGCAGCGGGGUAAUUCCAGCUCCAAUAGGCGUAUAUUAAAGUUGGUUGGCAGUUUAAAAAGGCUCGGUUAAUUGAACUUUUAGGGGCU
rnacentral:rRNA from 1 species